UUUCCCAGGGCGGUCAGCCCUAAGGGAACACAGCCCGUGAUCAUGGGCCGCUGUGACUCUCUUUCCUGUCAAGGGCACCGAGCUGACUCAUCGCCGAGGCCAUGACUGGGCACCACUUCUCUGGAAAAUUUCUUUGAACUCCUGGAUCUGGGGAGGAGCGAGAAACGUGUGAGGAAACAGUAAAGGUUCUCCACGCCUCUCUGAUAAAUUCAUUGCCCCCACUGUCCUAGGGCAGCAGGAGCCUUGGGAUACACACAGCCCCACAAGAUACGUGUGUUAUUUUCUCGGAUCAUCAGAACAGGAACUUGAGACUCAGGAUGAUUAAGCAACUUGCCUGAAGUCACUUAAAGAAAUGCCUGGAGGGACAAGGGACUAAUGUCCAGGACUGUCUGGCUGCAAAGCCAGCUCUGGGCUAAGUCUUCAAAAACACACAUUUCCCACUAGACCCAUACUCUGCAGGGACAAGACCUUGAUGGAAACUUGAGGUAGAUUUGUUUUUCUGUCCCUCAAAGGGCACCUUUCAUGAUGCCUGCUUUGAACAGUGGAAGGGCCCUGACUGGUCUGUGGCUCUUGGUGUCCUAAAGGAGGGGUUGGCAGUUUGUCUGUGACCGAGAAGUAAGUCAGGCCACAUCCCCAAAGUCCCUGAAGCUGCAGCAGCAGGGAUGCCAGGCCUCGGUCCCUGACACAUAAACUGCAUUGUCGCUUAGAGUGACUUCCGCCUGGAAGCUGGCACUUGGGGGGGGGGACUUGGCAGUAGAGCAGGCUAAGCCCUUUGGGAGCAUCUGAUCCAAAGUCCUUACUGUACUUACAUGGAGUGACAACAGAGGAAGAGGAGAAAGUCACGUGCCAGUGCUGACCAUGCGACCUGGGAGUACAAAGUUUUCAAUAAUGUUCCUUGAGUAGAAGUCCGUUCAUUUAUAAGUUACAAACCUGGCUGUUGGUACUGUUCUAUAUUAUGCAUAUUUAAAUCUAUCCCCAAAUUUAAAAAAUUAAAGAAUGAAAUAAAAGAUACACCUAGAAAUUCUGUUUUUCUCCUCUCCCCAGUUGGGUUGUGUUAAGGAUAAAUUUCGAGCACUCACUUUGGAGAACUCUGGACCAGUCUCCCUAUGAGCUGGGUAAUUUAGGAACCUGAGGUCGGAUGUUCAGUUUUAGGUGGUUUUUUAUUCUAAGCACCACCCCCCCCCACCCCACUGCCAUAAUAAUAUCAUUACUUCAUUCAGUUUUUUAUUGUGGUAAAAUAUGCAGCACAUAAAAUUUACCAUCUUAGCCAUCUUUAAUUGUACAGGUCAGUGGUAUUAAGAACAUUCACCUUGUUAUACAGUCAUCACUAGUCAUCUAGAAAUGGAGGCAUUUCUAGAACUUUUUCAUCUCCCCAAAGUGAAACCCUGCCCCCAUUAAACAAUGACUCCCCAUUCUCCAGGCCCUGAUAAUCACCAUUCUAUGUUUUGCUUUUAUGAAUUUGACUACUCCAAAAUUAUUUUUAAGCUCCUAUGAUGACUCAGGUGGUGGUUUGGCACAUGAGUUUCAGAGGUGAGCAAAGCAAAUGAAAUUCCCACCCUCCGACCUCCAAUAAAGUCUGCUUUAAUGAACUAAACUUACCUAACUUAGCUCUACUUUAGAUUAGCAUCUUUGGAGAGCCCAGGAGAUGGGCUAUAUCCAAGCUGGUGGCCAAGUGCGGAAUACAGGGCAGGUGAGAUGAGAAGGGUUGGGGGAGGUGAGGCUGGAAUUGAGAGAGGUGUGACAGGUGACUACUGGAUAAAAGGGAAAUACCUUCCCACAGAAUUCCUAAAGAAUUGGAGGAGAGAUGGGACUUCCUGCAUCACAUAGGUUGAAGCCAUAUUUGGGAUGCUAUAAGAGUCAUCCCAAAAGGCUAGCGGGCAUGCGAACAUUGGGGUGUCCUCAUUAUCAGUAACCCGCGCGUGACUCAGGCUUCGGAGUUUGGGAGGAACAGGUGUCAGGUGUGGAGAGAAGAGAGUGGGUAGGGGCUACACCCCCCGGGGUGCAGCUUGGCUGGGUGGCUAGAAGCCUGCCCACAUCUGACUGGAUCCCACGCUCUGCCCCUCCGCCUGCCUUUGCCUCAGGAUAAAAUUAUACAUUUCCAAUUACAGGGCUGGUCAAAAAUCAAUAAAAGGUGGGAGAGAACAGAUCAUUUUUCUUACGGAAGUAACCAUUUUCAUUAAUUUUUCAUUAGUGCUGCCUUUGUUUUGCUAUCCAUCACCCGCAGAGCUGCAGCCUGCGU